rnacentral:rRNA from 1 species
AAACCAACCGGGAUUGCCUCAGUAGCGGCGAGUGAAGCGGCAAAAGCUCCACUUUGAAAGCGUUUCGACGCGUUGUAGUGCGGUUCAGUCUUUAAGUGACGGAUGACUAAGUCCCCUGGAACGGGGUGCCAUAGAGGGUGAGAGCCCCGUGAGUUGUCUUUUUAGCUCUUUAAGUCUUUACCAAAGAGUCGAGUUGUUUGGGAAUGCAGCUCUAAGUGGGUGGUAAAUUCCAUCUAAGGCUAAAUACCGGCGAGAGACCGAUAGCGAACAAGUACAGUGAUGGAAAGAUGAAAAGCACUUUGAAAAGAGAGUGAAACAGUACGUGAAAUUGUUGAAAGGGAAGGGUAUUUGGCCCGACAUGGGUUCUGUGCACCGUUGCCUCUUGUAGGCGGCGCUCUGCUGGAGCCUGGGGCCAGCAUCAGUUUUUCCGGGCGAGGAUAAGAAGUUUUGAACCACAUUGUGGGGAUGAGUUUGAUGCUCGCAUGGGGGGACUGAGGACUGCCGUUGUAGGAUGUUGGCAACG